UUAUAAGGACAGAAAACCACACUGACUGCCUUACAAGCCACUGCAGAAAGGUGGACUCUCCAAGCACUUAUUGUUGGAGGCCAGUUACAAGAAUAAAAAGGAGAUCAUUCGCAUUCCUCACUCUCCACAAAGGAUGAAGUCUAUUUUAAAAGAAGCCUAUAAAAGCAGAAGCAAUUGACAGUACUUUCUGGGACAGCAAUAGCUGCAGAAAACUGCACAGUGGUUCAGCAUCUGCAAAUUGCAGAGCCCUUCCCUCUGUGGGAUUCACAAUUCUCCCCUCAGCCUCACCAAAGCUAAUUGAAAUGGACAACACAAACUAUUGAAGCUCUUAUUUUCAGAGAAAGAAGAAAAACAACAAGAGAAACAUUUAUAUCAAUGACACACUAUUUAACAAAAGACAACAAACAACAAACCUCCAACUUCAGAUACUGCAGAAAACCAUCAUCCUGUGACCAACAACUGCAGAAUGCCUGAGUGUUGGUACAAGAUGGGUUUGCAAAGGCACUUCACAUCCUUCCUCUGCGACGCUGAGAUGGAGAGCUGACUUCACAAUUUCACAAUAUACCAAAUAGGUUUAACUUCUUUCUUGUUUGGUUGGUUUUGGCCUCAGUCAGAUAGCCUGGAAAUGGCCAUACAAGUUAGAAAUGUAUUUCAAAUGUAAAUUUGGACCAAAUAAACAAAGUUUUCAAUAGU